ensembl:lncRNA novel transcript, sense intronic to PAK6
UCAACCUAGAUCCCUUGCAUGCGUAGUUCACAAUAGUGUUCGCAUGCCUAUGAAAAUCUAAUGCCCCUUGCAGGAGGCAGAGCUCAGGCAGUAAUGCAUGCUUGCCUGCUGCUCACCUCCUACUAUGCAGCCCGGUUCCUAUCAGGCCACAGACCAGUACCAGUCCACAGCCCAGGGGCUGGGGACCCCUGGGGUGUCUUCUGGCUCCUUUGCACUACCUAUGCCACCAGGCUUAGCAGCAGUCCUAGAAACAGGUGUAUCAAGAAGACUCUGCUCCUGGUGGGCUGGGGCUGAGAUGGCAGAGGCCCAUCCCAUCAUAUGCCAGAAAGAGGACACACUUGUGAGUCCAGGACUUGGGACUCUACAGUUUGCAGCUCUGCUCAGACUGGCUUCUGGGCAGCUCCUCACUUUGCCAUUAACUCCUCAGAGUCAAGCCCCAGAUGCCCCUUGGACCAGCCCCACUCCUAAGGUCAUCUGGUCAGGGUCUGCAGGGGUGACGCUUUCACUGACAAAAGGAUUUUAAUUUUGGUCCUAUCCCUAGUGUAGUCCCAGCCAGUCUUUGGUAGUCACCCACUUUUCCUGCUCUGACAGAGAUGGGCCAGCCCCUCCCAUAGGGGCUGCUCCCGGGAAAGGCUCAUCCACAGGCUAGGCCUCUGCCGGGCCUGCUGCCAGCCACUGAGCCUUUGGCGAUUGAGAGCUGACUCCCGACUGAGGUGUAGGCCUCCGUCCAGCCAGCACAAAGGGAGGCACAUCCCUUGCAGCAGUACCCACAGCCCCUGUCACGGCAGGCUGUGGCCAGACCCUGAUUGAGUGGCUCCCUCUCAGCCAUCUGUUCAGUCACCCAGAAACAAGUCAAGUCAAAGCUCCCAGUGAGUUCCUGCCUCAGCCAUUUGGUGUCACAAGGAAAGCCAGGGCGUUGCCACUUCCUGAUUUGGGACAAGAUGUGUAAAUGCAUUGAGCCUCAGACUCCUUAUCUGUAGAACUUGGGGUAAUGAUAACUACUUCAUGGUGUUUUAAGAAUUCCAUGGAAUCACAGAUGGAAAGAGCCUAGAUGUACUAUGCCUGACUCGUUGGAGACUUCACAUAAAAGGGUUUUCAGCUGCUGCCACCCCCAUCUUUUAAGUAUUUUCACAAUUCCAUACACCUGUUCCUGGCAAAAAGAAUUUCAUUCCCUGUUCACUUACUUGAAAACCCCUCUUCUUUUUUUUCGAGAGAGAGGGUCUCACUGUGUUGCCCAGGCUGGAGUGCAAUGGCCAAAUCUCAGCUCACUGCAGCCUCAACCUCCCACGUAGAUGGGACUACAGAUGUGCACCACCAUGCCUGGCUAAUUUUAUUUUUUGUGAGACGAGGUCUGUUGCCCAGGCUGGAGUGCAAUGGCCAAAUCUCAGCUCACUGCAGCCUCAACCUCCCAAGUAGAUGGGACUACAGAUGUGCACCACCAUGCCUGGCUAAUUUUAUUUUUUGUGAGACGAGGUCUCACUGUUGCCUAGGCUGGUCUCGAAUUCCUGGACUCCAGCAAUCCUCCCGCCUUGGCCUCCCAAAGUGCCAGGAUUAAGGCACGAGCCACCACGCCCAGCCUGAAAACCCGUUUUCCUGAGGGAAAACUGUUCUGGAAGUCAACAGCAGAGUCGCUUGCCAGGGCCACUUCUAAUAUUGAUGAGAUUCUGGCCUGUGCUCCCCUCCCUCAUAUCUUGUGUAGCAUUGUGACUAGAGAUUGGGUAAAAAGGGAAGACCUUGCCAAAUGUUGCCCACCUGCUACCCUCUCCGGCUGUCUGCUGACGUUGGCCACUUGAGUCUCUUGUCACUGACUGUGCCCACCCUUGGCCCCUGCCAGCAUCCUCCACACACCUUGCCCACAGGAGGACAGCUGGAGCAGGGCCACAGGGGAGGGCAUGCAAGGGACCUAUCUGACAAGGCCCUGAAACUUCCUUCCCACUGAGGACCCCAGGACUUGACCUAGUCAUCCCCCACUUUGCUGCCAAUACUUUGGGAGCAGGCAGAUGUCCAGGAAGCGUCUGUUCCUCUGUACCCUCCCUGCCAAGGAAGGAGCUUGAGAAAAAUCUCUUGAAGGUAGAGCCCCUGCUUCUGGCCUAGCUCUCCCGGAGGCGCAGGGCUGACGAGUGCCGCCAAGGUAAGACCAGCUCUGGAGUGUGGGAUAUACAGGCCUUCAGUGGCAACACCUGCUCAUUAAUCAAGCCCUUCCUUUCCGGAACCUGCCCUGGCUUGGGAUGGUGGGAAGGAAGGAGAACAGAAUCUGUUCCUCCCUUCCUGGCCCUGCGGUGAGAGGCGCUGACUAGUGUAGGUGGGUGGAGACAGGCCCAUCAGAAGGCCUGAGUGAGGCACCCUCUGUACAUGCAGCACAAGCGGGUGUGGAGUGUGGGGAAGCAUCUAAAGAUCUAGAAAAAUUUGGCAGCAAAGGAAUUUUACCCACACACUGGAGCCCUAGGCUUUGUUUCUAAAAGUUUUUAUUAUUCUUUAGGAAAACUUGGGAAGCACUAGUUUAUGAAAAUUUUUAGAACUUCAUUGCUACAUGGCCUUUCCAAACACAUCCCCAGAUGGUUUCUUUAAAACCAUGCAGUGGGACAAGGUUGAUAUAAACAGUUGUUCCAGCUGAAUCCAACUCACCAAAACGGUGCAGGUGAGGCAAAUUACUUUUGAGACUGCAAGUACUGUAUAUGUCCAUUAACAAAAACACAGUAAAAGACUUUAAGAAAUUGUAAGGACACUGGCUUGACUGAUUCAUGCGGCUGCAAAUCCCUGGGAGCCAAGAUUCAAAGGCAGAAAUGUCUGUGGUGACAGCACCACCACUGCCUUUGUCCAAAUUACAGAUCUGUCACACUCAGAGCUUGCUGCUAGCAUGGGGCUGCCGUCGGCAGCAAAGGGAACUUCAUGGAUCUGUGAGGAGGAACAGCUGAGUUCCUGACUGCCUUUAAUUUUCUCUGAGGCUUUGCUGAGUCACCUAAUCUCUUGGGGCUGUGGUUUUCUCACCUGUAGAAGGAGGGACAGGGCUGAUAUCCCUAGAGUGCCUUUCAGCUCUGGGAUUCACGCAUUCUAAGGAGGGUGGCUAGAGCACAGAACCUCUAAAGAUGUUCAUUCAUUCCUUCAACAAAGUUUACAUGAGCACCUGCCAUGUGCUAAGCACCAGGGCCGACCACUGGCCCAAAAACACAGGCAUCUGCUGGCCUGCCCACUGCAGCAGCAGCCAUACCUUUGCAGGCCGGUGGAGCCCCCCUUUCUACAGCCUGUGGAAAAAAUGGUUCUAAAUUUGCAGAUCCUCUCAUCAAAUCAGGAAGUCAAGAAACAUGAUAGAAUAGAGGAACUGGUCUCAGUUUGCACAGGCCAUCAGUUUCACAAGACAGGAAUCGAAUAUCAACAGUGGCUGAUUAUCACACUCAGGAAUUGAAAAUAAUUAGAAAAAGAGGCAAAGAUGCUGUGGCAAUCAUUGGCUGGUCCCCUUUGGUCUCCAGCACCCAUUCCCCUUUGGUUUAGUAACAGCACCCUAACUUUCCUCCCUAUAUCGUGUGAUAACAGAAGCACUCUCUCCAGGAUACCCUCCCUGAGAGACAGGCAUAUGACCUGAGCCAGCCAAUCAGACUCCUUCCCUGCAAGGAUGCACUAGGUGGACAGCAUGGUGGGAGCAUCUCUCAUCCAGGCAGGGGUGAUCUGUGGGACUGCAGUCAGUCCUGUUGCUUAGAGACCCCAGGACUGCCAUAGCUUCUGUCCUGGACUUGAUUCUCCAGGCUAACAGAGAACCUGACUGAUGCAGAUUCAGGAGAGCUGGUUUGUUUAGUUCUCAGUUCCUUUCAUGAAAUGGCUAUUAUCUCUGCUAGCUACUAUAGCAGAAAUCUGGAAAACAUGAUUUUUCUUGAUUUAUGAAAUUGUUGAUGUUUCUUCAGGAAUUUCCGCCUGCUUCUCAUAAACUGGCAGAAACUUAGAAAUGUUACAUUUCUUAAAGAGAGUCAUUGUAAUUAUUAUCUGAAUAAGAUGAUAGUGUUUUGAAUUUAACGUAAUAAACUCUAUCUCCUGCC